AUGCAACCCGGCAGAUACCUUGGGAGCGAGGAGGGUAUUUUGGGGAGUUGCAGUGUUGUGCGGAACAUCAUGUCUGUGCCCUGUGGUGCUGUCAGCGGUGACAGAUCCCAGAUGCAGUCGCUACUGUAUGGCAGAUUGAGUUUCUCAGCAGAAAACUCUCUCCCUCCCUCCCAAACGUCUUCAAAAACCUUCUCCAGAUACUGCGGGUCACUUCGGCUCAAACGGGGAGAGAAAGGGGGGAAAAAAGGCUUUUCCUCUCUCCUCCCUCUCUCUUCCUCCCGCCGGAUCUCUCUGGGGUGCGCGGGGGGCCGUGACCGGGCCCUUGUGCACCCGGGGGCCCGAGGCGACCCCUCUCACCCUGGUCCUGCUGAGAGCCCGUCGCCGAGCACGGGGACCGUGGUCCAGAAGGAGCCUGUCAUUUUAUCCCGGGGUUUCUCGGAAACGCUGAGCGAGCCAGACGCUGCGGCGGCUCCCGCCCUGCUCGGCGCUGCAGCAGCCGCCGGUGCCUUUCCCCUCCGCUGGCCAAGUGCAUCACUGGGGACGCGGCUCCGGGAGUGCUCGAGAAGGAUUUGUACUUAUUUUUUCCAGAGAAGGGUUUUUCUUUCUGUGUCUUUUGCCUAAGCCAGCCGACAUCUAAUUCAGCCAAACACAGCAAAUAUCUCUACCUCAAGUCCAAGAAUCUGAUGGAUACUCCUUUACCCCUGCUUAAUGACUGCAUGUGACCUGUCCUGUGAUCUGCCGAGGUCUGGAGUCAUCUGACAUCGGUAGUAAUGGGGAAUGGAGAAGGAUCUUAUGGCUUUGGACUGUUGGAAAACAGAGCGGAGAUG
rnacentral:lncRNA from 1 species